rnacentral:lncRNA from 1 species
GGAUUUCUAAUGAUGAUAUGAAAGACCCCCCACACUUAAGAUGUACAUUGCCCUCAAUGUACAAAAAGAGAUAUAUUGACAAAGAUAGAUAUAUAAUCAUAAGAUAGGAAGAGAAGUGAAACUUCCUAAAUGAUGCUUGAACUCCUUGAAUUGGAGUCAUGAAAAAUGAGCGGCGAAAGCAAUGAUGAGGGUGGAGGAGGAUACUCCGGUGGUGGUAGAGGUUGGGUUCCACAAAUGCUGCGCCAAAAGAAUAUUAUGUCUCAAGUUGGCUAUGGUCGUGAUCGAGCAGGGCAUGGCAGUCGUGGAGAACCUUUCCUAGUGAAGUUUC